rnacentral:rRNA from 1 species
GAUGAACGCUGGCGGCGUGCCUAAUACAUGCAAGUCGAGCGAACAGACGAGGAGCUUGCUCCUCUGACGUUAGCGGCGGACGGGUGAGUAACACGUGGAUAACCUACCUAUAAGACUGGGAUAACUUCGGGAAACCGGAGCUAAUACCGGAUAAUAUAUUGAACCGCAUGGUUCAAUAGUGAAAGACGGUUUUGCUGUCACUUAUAGAUGGAUCAGCGCCGCAUUAGCUAGUUGGUAAGGUAACGGCUUACCAAGGCAACGAUGCGUAGCCGACCUGAGAGGGGGAUCGGCCACACUGGAACGGGGACACGGUCCAGACUCCUACGGGAGGCAGCAUUAGGGAAUCUUCCGCAAUGGGCGAAAGCCUGACGGAGCAACGCCGCGUGAGUAAUGAAGGUCUUCGGAUCGUAAAACUCUUUUAUUAGGGAAGAACAAAUGUGUAAGUAACUAUGCACGUCUUGACGGUACCUAAUCAGAAAGCCACGGCUAACUACGUG